CGCCAUGGACGGCGGUGGUUCUAAACAGAAGCAAGUUUUCGGUACGAAAACUUGUCGUUGAACAGCGUACACGGACGUACGCUGUUCAACA
rnacentral:sRNA from 1 species